GCUGGGAUAGCUCAGUCAGUAGAGCAUGAAACUCUUAAUAUCAAAGUAAUGGGUUUGAGCCCCUCGUUGGGCA